AGCCUCCUGUGUGUUUAUUUGGGACUGAUGCGGCUCUAGAACCAGGCUGGCGGGAAGGCUCUUAUCAAAGGAAAAUGCUUCUCUUUAUAACUGUGAGAUAAUAAGUCACUGAGAGCGAGUCCCACAGCUAUAACCUCCCCGGGCAUUCUUUACUUACCUCUCGGUCUAGUGACUGCUCUGUCCCCGGGGGUGUGUGGCCCUGGUGACCACAGGUACUUACCUGACCUAUGGCUUCUUUGUGCUGACAGGUGCUCAUUUCCAAUUCCCAGGUCCCAAAGCAGGAAUCAACUCAUUUUUCCCCGUCUCAAUGUGACAGCUUCUCGUCAUUCGUCACACUCUUUGGUACUGAGUCGGCAGGAGUGCUGGACAGUGAACCACAGAAAGUGGGUCCCAUAAGGAGCGAGUCACUCGUGCCAAGAUGCCAGGCAGCCAACAAGCCUGGUGGAAUUGAUGCCGAGCUACCUACCCAUCAUGCCUUGAGAGGGAGCGGGGGAGUUGAAAUUAGACAGCAUUGCGCACUGUCUCCUUUGGAUGCUGCUGCUGUGUGACAUACUCACCCCUGUCCCUGACAUUUUACGGGCUGGACCCAAAUACCGAGAUCCACUCCUGUGUCUAGAACAAACCCUUGCAGAGAAUGUCACUAAAAGCUAAAACGUAGGUCAGCAGUGAGAGAUCUCAUUUUUGCCGCUUAAUUCCUGGACUGGUGAGUGGACAGGAGGACUCCAAGCUCUGUCCAACUUGCUUUUCCGAGAACUGAUUUCCAGUGUCUGCAGAAAAGGAACAUGUCUGCAACGACGUGAAAUAUUAUUUUCCAAAGCAUUCGCUAGAAGUGAACAGUGAGCUACUGAAUGAGCCACGGCACUCGGUGCCCCUGGAAUUGGUGACUUAGACUCAAGGACUAAAGACCCGGGAUUUCUAUAUCAACCCCAAAGGGUCAGCAUCCGAAGUAGGAUCCAGCUGGACCCUGCCUGUGGCUCUAGCCCUUGUCACUAGCUUGACAGGUGAAUAACCGAUGCUCCCCCAGGCAGGCCGCAAGGCAGGGAGCAGAGGAAAGGCCUACUUCCUAUCUUCCUCACACCAGGAAGGCUGAGGGCAAGCCAUGACUCCUCUUGUCUUCACACUAUGCGAAACUUACACAGCCUCAAGAGCCCAGAGCAAGAGACCGGCAUCUUGGGCAAGACCAACCCAGAGAGGGAGAGGUUCAUGACGGCUGUGAGGUGAGUCUUUGGCCCUAUUGAUGUUUGCUAACAAUUAAAACAACAGUGCUCAGGGGUUCACCGUGCUGCGCCAGGGAAGUCUGGAACCUCCCUUCUGCCAGGAGCCAAGGGAGGACUUGAGGCAUAGCUGGUGGUAGGGCACUCACCUCGCAUACGUGGGACC